GUUUAGACAGUCUGCUUUGUGGCGACAGUUCUGCAAGUCUGAAGAGCUUGUGCCUGAAGUUACUGCUGUGUCUAGUGACCGUAACCGAUAACAUCAGUCAAAACACCAUUCUUGAAUAUGUGAUGAUAAACAGCAUAUUUGAAGCCAUUUUACAGAUUCUGUCUGAUGUGUCAAGUCGAUCACAACAUGGCUACGAUGCUGUUGUCCUGCUGGCCCUGUUGGUCAACUAUAGGAAGUAUGAG